AACGCAUCUUGCGCUCCUUGGUAUUCCGAGGAGCAUGCCUGUUUGAGUGUCGUGAAAUACUCUCAAUUUCAAUCUUUUUUGUUUGAAAUUGGAUUUGGGCGUUGUUGUGACUUCACGACUUGCCCUAAAUGCAUUAGCGAUCCUGUCCUUGAUCACACAAUGUGAUAAUAAAAAAACAUUGUUACAGUCGAGUCAAGGUCGCUUCUAACUGUCUGUCACCAGACAACCAUUACAUGUCAUUUGACCUCAAAUCAGGUAGGACUACCCGCUGAACUUAA
rnacentral:misc_RNA from 1 species